rnacentral:rRNA from 1 species
CGCGUAGGUGGUUUGUUAAGUUGGAUGUGAAAUCCCCGGGCUCAACCUGGGAACUGCAUCCAAAAACUGGCAAGCUAGAGUAUGGUAGAGGGUGGUGGAAUUUCCUGUGUAGCGGUGAAAUGCGUAGAUAUAGGAAGGAACACCAGUGGCGAAGGCGACCACCUGGACUGAUACUGACACUGAGGUGCGAAAGCGUGGGGAGCAAACA